rnacentral:rRNA from 1 species
CAACAGGGAUUGCCUCAGUAACGGCGAGUGAAGCGGCAACAGCUCAAAUUUGAAAUCUGGCCCUAGGCCCGAGUUGUAAUUUGCAGAGGAUGCUUUUGGUGCGGUGCCUUCCAAGUUCCCUAGAACGGGACGCCAGAGAGGGUGAGAGCCCCGUACAGUUGGACACCAAGCCUUUGUAAAGCUCCUUCGACGAGUCGAGUAGUUUGGGAAUGCUGCUCAAAAUGGGAGGUAUAUUUCUUCUAAAGCUAAAUACCGGCCAGAGACCGAUAGCGCACAAGUAGAGUGAUCGAAAGAUGAAAAGCACUUUGAAAAGAGGGUUAAACAGCACGUGAAAUUGUUAAAAGGGAAGCGCUUGUGACCAGACUUGCGUCCGGUGAAUCACCCAGCUCUCGCGGCUGGGGCACUUCGCCGGCUCAGGCCAGCAUCAGCUCGCUGUCGGGGACAAAAGCUUCAGGAACGUAGCUCUCUUCGGGGAGUGUUAUAGCCUGUUGCACAAUACCCUUCGGCGGGCUGAGGUACGCGCUCCGCAAGGAUGCUGGCAUAAUGGUCAUCAGCGACCCGUCUUGAAACACGGACCAAGGAGUCAACCUUAUGUGCGAGUGUUCGGGUGUCAAACCCCUACGCGUAAUGAAAGUGAACGCAGGUGAGAGCUUCGGCGCAUCAUCGACCGAUCCUGAUGUUCUCGGAUGGAUUUGAGUAAGAGCAUAUAGGGUUGGACCCGAAAGAAGGUGAACUAUGCGUGUAUAGGGUGAAGCCAGAGGAAACUCUGGUGGAGGCUCGCAGCGGUUCUGACGUGCAAAUCGAUCGUCAAAUAUGCGCAUGGGGGCGAAAGACUAAUCGAA